rnacentral:rRNA from 1 species
ACCUACGGGGCGCAGCAGUGGGGAAUAUUGGGCAAUGGACGCAAGUCUGACCCAGCAACGCCGCGUGAAGGAAGAAGGCUUUCGGGUUGUAAACUUCUUUUACGGGGGAAGAGCAGAAGACGGUACCCCUUGAAUAAGCCACGGCUAACUACGUGCCAGCAGCCGCGGUAAUACGUAGGUGGCAAGCGUUGUCCGGAAUUACUGGGUGUAAAGGGAGCGUAGGCGGGCGAGAAAGUUGAAUGUUAAAUCUACCGGCUUAACUGGUAGCUGCGUUCAAAACUUCUUGUCUUGAG